UCCAGGGCAUAGAGAGAAGACUGGGUCUCCAAGGACAGAUUCAGCAUGUGAAGUGGAAAUGUGGAUGGCCGGCAUAGGGGGCAGGCAAAAGACUGUGGCUAAUUCAGAAAACAACUCCGAGACCAUGUGGAUUCCUGCAACAGAGAGGAAUUCACAGGAGUGCUCCAGCCAUGAAGACAGAAGAGAAGCAGUCCAGAGAUGGAAGACGCCGACCAGGCCUUGCCAUACUAGCAGUCAGCAGAUGUGCGUUACUGCAGAUUGCCCAGGACCAAACCAGAGAGGAUCAGACCUGCAUUACCACCAUUUGUCCACCAUCCAGAACUGGAAUAUCAUUGCUGUUAUGUACACAUAAACAACUGUUGGACAUAUAAAUCGGGACUCAAAAGAACUAUUGGCCCAGAAAGAAACUCACUAUAGACUGAUUCAUUUGCCUCUCAGCAUAACCAUUAU